CCUACGGGGGGCAGCAGUGAGGAAUAUUGGUCAAUGGACGAGAGUCUGAACCAGCCAAGUAGCGUGAAGGAUGACUGCCCUAUGGGUUGUAAACUUCUUUUAUAUGGGAAUAAAAUGUUCCACGUGUGGGAUUUUGUAUGUACCAUAUGAAUAAGGAUCGGCUAACUCCGUGCCAGCAGCCGAGGUAAUACGGAGGAUCCGAGCGUUAUCCGGAUUUAUUGGGUUUAAAGGGAGCGUAGGUGGAUUGUUAAGUCAGUUGUGAAAGUUUGCGGCUCAACCGUAAAAUUGCAGUUGAAACUGGCAGUCUUGAGUACAGUAGAGGUUGGCGGAAUUCGUGGUGUAGCGGUGAAAUGCUUAGAUAUCACGAAGAACUCCGAUUGCGAAGGCAGUUCACUGGACUGCAACUGACACUGAGGCUCGAAAGUGUGGGUAUCAAACAGGAUUAGAUACCCCAGUAGUC
rnacentral:rRNA from 1 species